GGGUGCAUGGUCUAGUGGUAUGAUUCUCGCCUCGCACGUGAGCGGUCCCCGGUUCAAUCCCGGGUGCAUCCA
rfam:Madurella mycetomatis strain mm55 MMYC01_Sc2073, whole genome shotgun sequence.